AUCUUUUGAGUAUGAUACAGUACACUUGCCUUCCAAGUAAGAGGAUUAAAAACUUUAAAAAAGAUACCAGAGU
rnacentral:tRNA from 1 species